rnacentral:lncRNA from 1 species
CAAAAACACAACAAAGAGGCCAUGGAGCCAGUGCCAGCAAGCAAUGAGAGGGAGAAAUGGAGCCCAGUGGAGUUCUUCUCCCUAAAGGAAAAUUAAAAGACAGAUGAUCAGCUAGCUCCCAGAAGUUCUGCCUCGGGCCUAAAUGAAAUAAAUGAAAAGGGUGAGAAAUCCUAAUGAAAUCACCAAUCCAAACAACACAACGACCUGAGGGCGCUAAGGGUCAAGGUUCAGGACAAUUCAAGGAGAAGCAGUCAGGCCUGUGGUUUUACAACCCAAGCCCUGGGCUUGGCCACCAGCACAGGAGAGCAAAGGGCCCGACCAACCCCUUUCCUUCCACAUCUCAGUGAUGAGCGUGGUGUGACUGAGCGCCUACUGCACACCGAUGCCCAUAAGAUGUGGUCUUCAGCAUAGGACUCCUUGAACAGGUAAACCAGGGUACGGCUACACGCUCCGCUGGAGAAUUUCUCACUUUACGAAAGGAGCUGUGUGCUCAGGUUCCUACACCAGUCUCACGGGACCAGCGCAGCAGUCA